rnacentral:rRNA from 1 species
UGGGGAAUAUUGCACAAUGGGGGAAACCCUGAUGCAGCGACGCCGCGUGGGUGAAGAAGUAUUUCGGUAUGUAAAGCCCUAUCAGCAGGGAAGAAAAAAAUGACGGUACCUGACUAAGAAGCACCGGCUAAAUACGUGCC